GCUAUACUUCUUCCUACUAGCUACGGUGCAACACCACCAGAUCUUUAACAAGGUGGAAAUUCUCGUAUUUCGUACGUACAUGUUCUUGCGGCUCGGAUGAGUAUAGUUAUUUAUAUCGCGACAGCUAUAAACAGUUCCUUGUUCCCAUUAACAAAACAUCCCCUUUUUCUUUGCUCUUCCGGAACCGGUACAGAAAUUGGUGCUUUUUCUACUUUGUUUACGUUAGUGACUGGGGGGUUUCGGGGAAGGCCUAUGUGGGGUACCUUUCGGGUGUGGGAUGCUCGUUUAACUUCUGUAUUCAUCUUGUUCCUUAUUUACCUGGGUGCACUGCGUUUUCAAAAGCUUCCUGAUGAACUGGCUCCUAUUACAAUCCAUGUUGGACCGAUCGAUAAACCAAUAAUAAAUUCUCUAGUCAACCUGGGAGCAUUAGCCGAUCUGGUACAUCAAUACAUGUUCCUAUGCCCAUUCCAAUCUUGUCUAACUUUUCUAACUUCCCCUUCUCUACCCGUAUCUUGUUCGUUCUGGAAACACGUCUUCCUAUUCCAUCUUUUCCCGAAUCUCCCUUAA
rnacentral:rRNA from 1 species